rnacentral:rRNA from 1 species
GAUGAACGCUGGCGGCGUGCCUAAUACAUGCAAGUCGAGCGAACGGACGAGAAGCUUGCUUCUCUGAUGUUAGCGGCGGACGGGUGAGUAACACGUGGAUAACCUACUUAUAAUACUGGGAUAACUUCGGGAAACCGGAGCUAAUACCGGAUAAUAUUUUGAACCGCAUGGUUCAAAAGUGAAAGACGGUCUUGCUGUCACUUAUAGAUGGAUCCGCGCUGCAUUAGCUAGUUGGUAAGGUAACGGCUUACCAAGGCAACGAUGCAUAGCCGACCUGAGAGGGUGAUCAGCCACACUGGAACUGAGACACGGUCCAGACUCCUACGGGAGGCAGCAGUAGGGAAUCUUGCGCAAUGGGCGAAAGCCUGACGGAGCAACGCCGCGUGAGUGAUGAAGGUCUUCGGAUCGUAAAACUCUGUUAUUAGGGAAGAACAUAUGUGUAAGUAACUGUGCACAUCUUGACGGUACCUAAUCAGAAAGCCACGGCUAACUACGUG